GGAAAAGGGUGGAGACGGGAAGCCGUUUAGCCGGUGCUUCUGCAGCGCAUGUUCAAGGAAGACACUGGACGGCGAUAGCUUGGUGACCUACAAGAGGUGACUUAAUACACAAGCACCACAGAGAGAGGGCGUGCAGAGUCCCUAAAGGAGGGGUCGCUCCCAACGGCGAGGACACCAGAGCAAGCAGACCUGGCUCCGGAACGUGAAUUAAAACAGCGACAUGAGCUUCUGCUCGUUGGCCCUGAGGUUUCCUUUGUAGUGUGCCAUUGCCUGGUUGAUCCUGGCGUCACAGCUCAGGUUCUUCGGCUUGUAGCAGAACCAAGGCUCGCCUGUACGGAGGUCAGUGUGGUUGCACAGCGGCUGCUGGGUUGGACGUAGGCAGACAUUACAGAUGGUAGUUUCAGAGAUUGAGCCUGAGCGGAAGAGGCUCUUGAAGCCAAUCCUGUCAGGUUCUUCACUGUUGAGCCUCUUCAGCACUGUGAUAGCCUCACUAGGGUGAGCCAGCGUCACCUACAUAGAGAAGAUAG